GUAAACAGUGACUGCUCUAUUUUCAUUUUAUUUAGAAAUAUUAUUAACAGAAAUUGGCCGAAAUGCACUUCGAGAUGCGCAGUCGAGAACUUUCCAGACUCUCAGGAGGAACAGCCGGAGGAACGCCAUCCCUCCAGCAAGUGGAGUGGUAUGCGCGUGUAAAAUUUGAAGUAGACUAGAGGCGGAGAGGGUAUAGGACUGCACGCGUCGGUAGAUAGCAGUGGGACUAGAGCACAUACCGGGCACGGUACCAAAGGAUACACCCACCACGUUGGUUUCAAAACAUCAGGAUUCGAAAAAGUUGCAAUGAAGGACGUGUGUUUCCAGUGUUAUCACACAAAAUGCCCAGAGGUGGCCAUAUUUUAUGAUCUUAAUGGUGAUCUGAACAAGAAUCUGCUGGUGCCAGGCCCUUUCCAGAAAUGCACCUCCACUCCCUAUCCUCCAUCUGGGAAGUGCACCAUGUGUCUCCAGGAUAAUUAUUCUUAUGCUUUGUGCAGAAGUGUGUCAGAGAGUCUCCAGCCUGCCCUGGAGGCCAAUAGAACUGCCGUUACCAACUAUAAACAAACCAAUUGCUCUGUCGUUGGCAUCGCGUCAACUACUGUGAAUGGUCCAGACUUCACUGGAGCUGGUGGUCAAAACGGACAUCCUGGGGGUGAACUGUGGUGGUGUUUACUGAUCCUCGUCCUGGUCGUCAUUGGCAUUGGCAUUGCUUACUGGUGUAUCAAGAAGCGCAAAAUAAUUAGAAACCAUGUCGUAUAAGGGUGAGUGUGUUCUGACUGUAACGAUAUACAGUGGGGCAAAAAAGUAUUUAGUCAGCCACCAAUUGUGCAUGUUCUCCCACUUAAAAAGAUGAGAGAGGCAUGUAAUUUUCAUCAUAGGUACACUUCAACUAUGACAAAUUAUGGUGGAAAAUAAGUAUUUGGUCACAUACAAACAAGCAAGAUUUCUGUCUCUCACAGACCUGUAACUUCUUCUUUAAGAGGCUCCUCUGUCCUCCACUCGUUACCUGUAUUAAUGGCACCUGUUUGAACUUGUUAUCAGUAUAAAAGACACCUGUCCACAACCUCUAACAGUCACACUCCAAACUCCACUAUGGCUAAGACCAAAGAACUGUCAAAGGACACCAGAAACAAAAUUGUAGACCUGCACCAGGCUGGGAAGACUGAAUCUGCAAAAGGUAAGCAGCUUGGUUUGAAGAAAUCAACUGUGGGAGCAAUUAUUAGGAAAUGAAAGACAUACAAGACCACUGAUAAUCUCCCUCGAUCUGGGGCUCCACGUAAGAUCUCACCCCGUGGGGUCAAAACGAUCACAAGAACGGUGAGCAAAAAUCCCAGAACCACACGGGGGGACCUAGUGAAUGACCUGCAGAAAGCUGGGACCAAAGUAACAAAGCCUACCUUCAGUAACACACUACGCCGCCAUUGACUCAAAUCCUGCAGUGCCAGACGUGUCCCCCUGCUUAAGCCAGUACAUGUCCAGGCCCGUCUGAAGUUUGCUAGAGAGCAUUUGGAUGAUCCAGAAGAAGAUUGGGAGAAUGUCAUAUGGUCAGAUGAAACCAAAAUAUAACUUUUUGGUAAAAACUCAACUCGUCGUGUUUGGAGGACAAAGAAUGCUGAGUUGCAUCCAAAGAACACCAUACCUACUGUGAAGCAUGGGGGUGGAAACAUCAUGCUUUGGGGCUGUUUUUCUGCAAAGGGACCAGGACGACUGAUCCGUGUAAAGGAAAGAAUGAAUGGGGCCAUGUAUAGUGAGAUUUUGAGUGAAAACCUCCUCCAUCAGCAAGGGCAUUGAAGAUGAAACGUGGCUGGGUCUUUCAGCAUGACAAUGAUCCCAAACACACCGCCCGGGCAACGAAGGAGUGGCUUCGUAAGAAGCAUUUCAAGGUCCUGGAGUGGCCUAGCCAGUCUCCAGAUCUCAACCCCAUAGAAAAUCUUUGGAGGGAGUUGAAAGUCCAUGUUGACCAGCAACAGCCCCAAAACAUCACUGCUCUAGAGGAGAUCUGCAUGGAAGAAUGGGCCAAAAUACCAGCAACAGUGUGUGAAAACCUUGUGAAGACUUACAGAAAACGUUUGACCUCUGUCAUUGCCAACAAAGGGUUUAUAACAAAGUAUUGAGAUAAACUUUUGUUAUUGACCAAAUACUUAUUUUCCACCAUAAUUUGCAAAUAAAAUCAUUAAAAAUCCUACAAUGUGAUUUUCUGGAUUUUUUUUCUCAUUUUGUCUGUCAUAGUUGAAGUGUACCUAUGAUGAAAAUUACAGGCCUCUCUCAUCUUUUUAAGUGGGAGAACUUGCACAAUUGGUGGCUGACUAAAUACUUUUUUGCCCCACUGUAGCU
rnacentral:lncRNA from 13 species